rnacentral:sRNA from 1 species
UCGACAAAUAAGAUGCGCCGGCGACAUG